rnacentral:rRNA from 1 species
UACCAGCCCCCCGAGUGGUCGGGACGAUUAUUGGGCCUAAAGCAUCCGUAGCCGGUUCUACAAGUCUUCCGUUAAAUCCACCUGCUUAACAGAUGGGCUGCGGAGGAUACUAUAGAGCUAGGAGGCGGGAGAGGCAAGCGGUACUUAGUGGGUAGGGGUAAAAUCCGUUGAUCCAUUGAAGACCACCAGUGGCGAAGGCGGCUUGCCAGAACGCACUCGACGGUGAGGGAUGAAAGCUGGGGGAGCAAACCGG